rnacentral:rRNA from 1 species
GUUCUUUGAAAAGUAGAUAAACAUGCUUUAAAAUUUCAUAAAGUGAAGGAAGUAAGGC